UACGCGGGGGGCAAGCGUUGUUCGGAAUUAUUGGGCGUAAAGGGCGCGUAGGCGGUGCGGUAAGUCUGAUGUGAAAUCUCCGGGCUCAACUCGGAGUCUGCAUCAGAAACUGCCGUGCUUGAGUGUGGGAGAGGUGAGUGGAAUUCCCGGUGUAGCGGUGAAAUGCGCAGAUAUCGGGAAGAACACCCGUGGCGAAGGCGGCUCUCUGGGACGGUACUGACGCUGAGACGCGAAAGCGUGGGGAGCGAACAGG
rnacentral:rRNA from 1 species